CCACUGCCAUGACAAGCAGCAUGUGAAGAUGCCAGUAAGCCACGAGCCACGUGGCAAGACUGUGUCAUUGAGAACUAUGUUUCAUUGUAACCACUGGUAUUUUACCAUGAAUUGAUUAUGUAGAAAGAUCAGUUGAUCGUUUCUUCAUGGAGGAGAUAGGAAAGAACAUCUAUCUUGCUAAGCCAAGCUCACCUGAAAAGACCUAAAAGCAUGGAUCUCAGGCAUCAGGUGCUCCAAGUUUAACAUUCCAAAUCAGAAAAGUGAAACUAGAAUCCACAUUUGAGGGGGAACAUGCAGUGCUGAAUUGGUUUGCUGUGAGAGGGCAACCUCACUCAAUAUAACUUAUUUCAUUCCA